UGGGGAAUAUUGCACAAUGGGCGAAAGCCUGAUGCAGCAACGCCGCGUGAGGGACGACGGCCUUCGGGUUGUAAACCUCUUUUAGCAAGGAAGAAGCGAAAGUGACGGUACUUGCAGAAAAAGCGCCGGCUAACUACGUGCCAGCAGCCGCGGUAAUACGUAGGGCGCAAGCGUUAUCCGGAAUUAUUGGGCGUAAANAGCUCGUAGGCGGUUUGUCGCGUCUGCUGUGAAAACCCGAGGCUCAACCUCGGGCCUGCAGUGGGUACGGGCAGACUAGAGUGCGGUAGGGGAGAUUGGAACUCCUGGUGUAGCGGUGGAAUGCGCAGAUAUCAGGAAGAACACCGAUGGCGAAGGCAGAUCUCUGGGCCGUAACUGACGCUGAGGAGCGAAAGGGUGGGGAGCAAACAGGCUUAGAUACCCUGGUAGUCCACCCCGUAAACGUUGGGAACUAGUUGUGGGGUCCAUUCCACGGAUUCCGUGACGCAGCUAACGCAUUAAGUUCCCCGCCUGGGGAGUACGGCCGCAAGGCUAAAACU
rnacentral:rRNA from 1 species